CAAAAGAUAGUUUAAUAAAAAUAAAAAUUUUGGGAAUUUUAGAUGAUUAGUUAUUUCUUUUGA
rnacentral:tRNA from 1 species